rnacentral:rRNA from 1 species
AUACGGAGGGUGCAAGCGUUAAUCGGAAUUACUGGGCGUAAAGCGCACGCAGGCGGUUUGUUAAGUCAGAUGUGAAAUCCCCGGGCUCAACCUGGGAACUGCAUCUGAUACUGGCAAGCUUGAGUCUCGUAGAGGGGGGUAGAAUUCCAGGUGUAGCGGUGAAAUGCGUAGAGAUCUGGAGGAAUACCGGUGGCGAAGGCGGCCCCCUGGACGAAGACUGACGCUCAGGUGCGAAAGCGUGGGGAGCAAACAGGAUUAGAAACCCCAGUAGUCC